CCAAAAUGGAAGUUUGAAUCAAAAAACAUUAAAUGUACCCAUGACUUAAAUUUUAUCGCCAUUAUUUAAGUUUGGACAUACACUUUUGUCAUCAAACGCUGAAAAUUAGUACGAUUGAAAUCACUUCUUGUUAUAAAAAUUCUUAGUAGCCCUGUUACAAAAUAUUCGCUACAAAUUAUUCAAAUCAACAACAAUAACCAUCAACUAAGAAAUUUUAAACAAUCUACUAAAAAAUAAAGCGUUUAAAAGUUCUGUUUAGAAAACAUCAAGAUAAGUAUAAACAUCUAGAAAAGUGAACAUCUAAGAAAAUCCAUCUAGUUAUUGCCGUAACAAUUAGAAUAAUCAUUUGAAAAAGUGCAUUAGACAACGAAAUUCACCAUCAAGAUAAUGAAGCAACAAGAAACAGCACACAUCAAUGAAUUAACACCUUAGAUUCAUCAUGAGAAAAUGCAUGGCACAACUAGAUUUACCAUCAAGAUAAUUCUUAAGCAGCGAAGAAUUAACAUCUAGAAAUGCAUAAACAUCUUAGAUUUUACAUCAAGAGAUGCGAUAACUAUAAACAACUAGAAACGUCACCAAGAUAGUGCAACAACAAAGAAUCAGCAUCUUGAAAUCGCACUAACAUCUAAGAAUCAAUAUCAAGUAUUAUAUUAACAUCAUAGAUAACUUCAUCAAGACAGGCAUCCACAUCUAAGAAACUCAUCUAGAAUAGCUAACACCUAACAUCAAAGAAUAUUCAUCAAGAACAGUAUCUAACAGAACUUUUUGACUAUAUAUGAAUUAAUUAUGUUACUAGCUAAAUCAUCUAUUAUUAACUUUCACACUCAAUUUCUACAUCUAAUAUCAAUUUAUUAACAAUAGAAUUAGCAGCAACAAGAUAUUACUUAAAAUUACUCCCCCG
rnacentral:snRNA from 1 species